rnacentral:misc_RNA from 1 species
UUUUCAUUUCUUCUCCUUCCUCCUACAAACCCUAGAUAGAACCUUAUCACGGGAUCGAUUUCGAUAGCAGUUCGAUCCUAUUCCACUGCGUGAUCCUUAAGUUUUCUGUCGGAACUUGCAAUUUCUCCAACUUCUCAACAGUUGUUUGCUGAAAAAAUGAAAUUUGUACAAGAUUUGAUCUGACGGAAGUUCAGAUAUAGUGGAA